ensembl:lncRNA
CAGGCAAAUGCAUGCUAAAAACCACUUCUCACAGGUGGUCCUUCAUGAGCUGAGGCCCAGCAGGGUGUGGGAGUAACAUCUCUGCCCUCUGCACGACCAUGUUCCCAGAUUUCAGUCCAGCUGAACAGCAAAUAAAAAUAUAACAGCAGGAGAGGUUGUAAUACUUGCUUUGUACAUGGUUUUCUGUCACAUCACAGCUCCCAUGGAAUAGCAGUGAGAUGCGUGAUUUUGCCUGUCUAGAGAUAUAUUCUCUCCUUUCUCCCUCCCGUUGAAAAAGCUCAUGGUCAUUCAAGAACACUGAGAUGGAUAUGAGGCCUUAUGAAUGCUGUGGCCAACGUAUAAUGGAUGGAGCCCAAGUUGGCCUUCAGCCACAGCAGUGACCCAUCAGUCACAGAGGAGGAGAAGUUUCAUUCCCACCUGUUCUUCUCAGCCAUAACUUCUGGAUUUCAGUUUCUGAAGCGUUUGGUCUGAUGUCAGUUUAAAAUGCAUACCCAUCACAACUGCACAGCAUACUGUUCAUCAGCACUGAUUUAAAGGAGCUACUUCAGCUGCAUUCAUUUAUACCUGGAGAGAAAUCUUCUAAAACAUUUCUUUGGAAGUAAGACUUCUGGUAGUAUGGGAAAUUAAACUGAUGCAAACUCCCAGAGAUUGCUGCAGCAAGAGGGGUCAGGUUAGUUUUCAUCACCUAUGAAUCUAACACACCAUAUUCUUUUUUUCAUUCUUUUUUUUCCAUAAUUAUUCCUGUAUUUGCCAAUUACCGGUACCACAGCAUCGUGUGUUCAAACAAACUCAAGUCUUCCUGGCCUCUCCUUGCAUCUUAUUAGAUCCAGCAGUGAAAUCAUCAUGCUAAAUUUGUGCCUUCCUGUUUAUUUCUACCUUGCCAGAUUGCAAGGAGCAGCAAACUGUGUGUUCUUUAUAAAUAAUGAUAGCGCUUUGCAUUUAUAUAACUUUCCAUCUGUGGAUCAAAGAACUACACAAAACAAGGUUUGAUGUUCACAGUUUGUUAUCAUUUUCACUUCAAGUAUAAGGACAGAGGAAGCGUGAAGUUAAAGGUUUCCAUUUACAAGCUAGCUUCGUUGGCUAGGGAAAGGCUUCUUUUGAUUCUCUGAUUUGAUAAGCCCAGGGCGAUUUUAAAGUCCUGAGGCCAUACCUGAAAUGAAGAGAGUAGGUGCCAUAGAACUGUAGGAUGGCUUACUUUAGAAGGGACCUUAAAGCCCAUCCAGUUCCAAACCCCUGCCACGGACAGGGCUACCACCCACCAGAUCAAGCAGCCCAGGGCCCCAUCCAACCUGACCUUGAAUGCCUCCAGGGAUGGGUACACAGCUUCUGUGGGUAGCCCGUGCUUGUGCCUCACUACUCUCUGAAUAAUGAACUGCCUCCAAAUAUCUAAUCAAAAUCUUCCCUCAUUUAGUUUAAAGCCAUUCCUCCUCGGCCUAUCAUUGUCUGCCCAUGUAAAAUUUGAUUUCCCUCCUGCUUAUAAACUGGAAGACUGCAGUGGGGUCUCCCUGGAUCCUUCUCUUCUCCAGGCUGAACAAGCCCAAGUCCCUCAACCUGUUUCUACAGGAAAGGUGCUCCAGCCUUCUGAUCAUCUUCAUGGCCCUCCUCUGGACCCACUCCAGGUCCACAUCUUUCUUGUACUUGGGGCCCCAGGCCUGGAUGCAGUACUGAACAUGGUGCCUCAUGAGGGCAGAGUAGAAAAAGACAGUCACCUCCCUCUUCCUACUGCCACCCCUCUGUUGAUGCAGCCCACGAUUCUCUUGGCCUUCUGGGCUGCAAACACGUACUGCUGGCUCAUAUUAAGUUUUUCAUCUAUCAGAAUCCCUAAGUCCUUCUCAGCAAGGCUGUACUCAAUGAGUUCUUCUUCCGGUUUGUAUACAUAUCUGGGAUUGUUCCAACUCAAGUGCAACAGUUUGCACUUGUCCUUGUUGAACCUCACUAGGUUCUCAUGGGCCCACUUUUCAAGCCUGUCCAGGUCCCUGUGGAUGGCAUCCCUUCUUUUUGUUGUAUCAACUGUACCACUCAGCUUGAUACCGUCUGCAAACUUGCUGAGAGUACGCUUGAUCCCAUCAUCUGUGCCACUGAUAAUGAUUUUAAAGAAUAACUGUCCCAGCACAGACCCCUGGGGUACAUCACACAUCACCAGUCUCCACCUGGAUAUAGAGCCAUUGACUAGAACCCUCUGGCUGCAGUCAUCCAACCAAGGAGGGUACCCAGGACCCUCUCGACACCAGCCUUACCAAAAGCCCGGGGCACUACAGCAUGCACAGGUUUUACUACAAGAAGAUGGGGGAGAGCCUGCCUUGUCUCUGCAGGCAGACCCUGGGUCACCUCAAGCAAAGCAGAGCAUGGUAGCUAUGUUAUCCAUACUGCUGGUCCAAACACACGCACAGCUGCUCAGAGGGGUUUGGUGAAGUGGAUGACUGCUCUAGGAUUAGAUGCUGAAAGCCAAAUGCCAACAACAGGGAGAGGUGUACAUAGCAAAAUUACUCUUCUAAACAGCAAGCCUGGAGUGACCAUUCAGUGAAGCCCAUGUAGCCUUUCUGGCUGUCACCUCCAAGACUGCACGAGCAAAAUCAUUUCUGAGUCAGCAAUCACCUCCUAUUCCAAUACUUUCCAUCAGUGCCUUGCUGUUUUCUCCCUCUAGUACACACAGCUUAAAGUCAGUAUGCCAGGAGGUAGCACCUCAAGUCAAUGGCCUAGAAACUGCUCAAGGUGCCAUUUGUUUUGUGACAGUUUAAUGCUUACAUGUCCUAAUGCACAAGGGAGAACCAAGGUGGGAGUGAAGGGGAGCAGAGAUGCCCUGCAAAAUAUCAGUGAUAACUUUUAAGGCUCUGAAUGGAAUUUUAAGGAGACAGAAGCAAACUAGUUGGCAGAAGAAACCACUUUUAGUCAGAGUACUUUCUUUCAAGCUGGCUUCUUUAUGUCUACUUUAAAGAAAUCUUUCCAUGCUCCCUUCCUCCAAUUUUAGACAUUGCUUUUCCCUCUGAAAGCCUACAACAUGGUGAUUUUGAGCAGCUCUUCCUUUAUCUACUGACUGGAGAUACAUGCCAAAUAAAUACUCUGUAUCCCCUGGUGUGCUCUUAUCCAUCAAAGAACAAGUAUGGCUUUAGGCAGCAUUAAAUCAAUUCCGCAUUUUGUACUGCUUUCUGCUUCCCCCCUUCUUACCAACUGGCCAUAGAACAGCCCCACUCACACACACAAGGCACAGAAUUUGUUUUUCAUGCCAUGUAGUCACCUCAGAAGAGUCAGAGUUUAAAUAUGGCUGCAGGAAAUACAAAGAUAAAGAGCUUGCAGGCAGCUAAUCUGUGCAAGGAAGCUCAGUGCAAUAUCCUUAAAUAAGGAAAACGGCACUUCUGGGCAAUGACUGUACUAAGUCAAGAAUACACUUUAAAUUAACUUUGCUGGAAUAUGUAAAACCAUUGGAUAUGUUAUAUGUGUGACAGCAUACCAAUCCAUAUUUUCUCCAUAUGACCCAGUAUCCUACACCUCAUAAAUAGGAUGCCAAAUCCCACAUGCUCCUGACACAGCCAGCCCUUGCCAAGGGUUUCUUGGGGUAUUUAUGCCCACUUUCUCACCUUCCCCAGAAUAUGAGGCUUCAUAUCCAGGUUACCUUGAAACCGGUCCCAAGCCACCACACAGACCAAGUAUUUUAUUUGUAGGAGAACUGCUGGUUUACCUAUCAUUCAUUCUUGGUGGCAUGUUCUUGUUGCUGCCUCCCUCCACUCAGACACCCAGAGGUAUUAAUUCCCGGUGUCUUAGAGAUGAUCCCGCUAUGUUUGCAAGCUCUUCUCCUAGCACAGAUGGAUGACCCAGUCCUUAGAGGGGUUGUGCUGGAGCAGAAGAUCUCCCUGUGCCAUCAGAAAGAAGGCAAACUUGAAGCAACACAUGGCACUUAUACCGGGCCUGUUUUGAUACAGAAGAAUUUCCCUUGUUACACACACGUGUAACAGACCCAGACUCCAGAGCCUUGCCAGACACACUGCCAAGGAGGCGACAAGACAAUUACAAAGAACAACAAAGAAAAGGCACAUGCGCUGAGAGGGGGAAGGGGCAGAGCUGGCAAGUCGUCCUCCGAGGACAAUGCAAUUCUGCAAGUCUCAACAACACCAAUCAAGAAGUGCAGAUUUUAAUCUUCGCUGUAAUUAACUUUAUCCAAACGAGCAGCAGGCUGGCUGGCUUUGUAUGGGAGUCUUCUAGCAAUUUAAUGUGCCUUUAAAAUGACUUGGCACUUCUAGAGGAAGAGGAGAGGGAGAAGAAGAUUGAUGCGGUGCCAAGCAUUUACUCCCACUAAUGAAAAGGAACUGCUAGGGCUCUUUGAUCAUAUAUUGUACCCUAUUCACUAGGUGCUAUUCAAUGGAAACACUGUUGUUACCACUACAUUUUCCAAACUGACAGCACAAUAAAGUACUUCCCAGCACAUAUGUAGCAUGUAGUGCUAAGUGAAUGGCACAGAUAUUUAAAAUUACAUCCGCAGUGUGUUAAAAUGCAAUGUGGCAUGAAAUAUGUUGCACUCACGCUAAGGCAGUAGAAAUGACAGUCCCUGCAUUUCUGGACCUCCCUUGGCUCCAAGAUUUGCACGAUGCCCUGGCCUGUCGUGCUGUGCAUGUUACCAUGCAGAAGCCAGUGCCGGGAAGGGUUCUCAGUUCAUUCAAGCUUUUUGCUUGAGAAGGGAACGUAUUGCUAAAUCAUAGAAUCAUAGAACAGCCUAAGUUGAAAAGGACCACAAAGAUCAUCUGGUUUCAACCCCUCUCCCAUGGGCAGGGUCACCAACUGCUCGGAUGACUUGCUGUGACUGCCUUGGCCAUCUCAGAGGCAAUGUGUGGAGUCACCAACCCUGGAUGAUUUCAAGAAAAGGGGAGGUGUUGCUCUGAGUGAUGUGGUUUAGUGAUAUGGUGGUGAUGGAUUGAUGGUUGGACAAGAUGAUCUUGGUGGUCUUUACAGCCUUAAUGAUUCUAUGAUUCUAUGAUCUCAGAGCUUGGAGUGGAGCUGAGAGCUCUGAGACAGUGUGCGUGUUGGUGGACAUGGGCUAGGAAAUUUAUGUCAAUGCUUGGCUGGCCAUAGUCAGAUGGCUUAAAUGGUGCAUACUUCCCUGUGAUUAAUGCUUCCUGUUGGUUGGCUUUGACUGUAGUUUCACUCCAUACCUUACUUAUGCGCACAGAAAAAUUUCUUAGAGGUACCACUUUCUCCCCAGUGAGCAAUGAGUAGCACAGAAAUUGUGAUGAAAUGCCUGUGCACUGCCAUGUCUGUGCAGGGAGCUCUGCAUGGUGUCGGCGGGCCAGGGUUAGAUUUGUACCUCUAGCAGCUGCAUAGGAGUUACUUGUAUGAUGUCUUGAGGUUAGUUGCAUAUCUCAAGAGUGACACAGGUAGAGUAGCACCACCAGUUCAGGAAAGAUAAGCAUAGUGUGGCCAAGGUGAGGUAAGCAGCAGUGCCUCAGUGUGCAAAAACCUUUCAGUGCAGCUUAGAUUUGUUUCUCAUCACUCUUCGCUGCUUGUUGCACCACUUACAGUUCAUGGAUCACACAGUCCAUUACUGUCUGAUGCAUUCCUUCCCUGGAGACACAACUAUGCUACUGUUCUUGUAAAGAGAGUUACAUAAUGGAAAGUGCUUCUUUUUGGAUUGGAUUUAGUGCCUAUGAGGUCAAGGUCUUCAUGAAGAUCCUGCAGUACCUCCUUUUAGUAUCAACACCCCAUCCUUUGCAUACUGGCCACACUCCAGCUGCUUGAGUCUGCUCUUCUUUGCAUUUGUGCUGAAC